GCAGAGCGUCGUGUCAGGGCGGCGGAGACCGAGGUGGCUGGCUGGGCUCUGCAGCCUGUCCCCGGGAAGCCGGGAGAGCUGACAGAUGAACGUGAGGCGGUCCCUGCUCGGCCUCACCUUCUGCACCUGUUACCUGGCUUCUCACCUCACCAACAAGUAUGUCCUGUCUGUCCUGAAAUUUACCUACCCUACAUUAUUCCAAGGGUGGCAGACAUUCAUUGGUGGACUUUUGCUUCAUAUGUCAUGGAAACUAGGAUGGGUGGAGCUCCACAGCAGUCCAAGAUCUGAUGUUUUGAUAUGGCUUCCUGCUUCAGCGCUGUUUGUGGGCAUAAUCUAUGCGGGGUCCAAAGCUUUGUCUAGACUGGCUGUUCCUGUGUUUUUCAUUUUGCAUAAUGUAGCUGAAGUUCUCACCUGUGGGUACCAGAAGUGUGUCUGGAAAGAGAAAACAUCGCUCUCAAAGAUCUGUAGUGCCCUCUUCCUCUUGGCUGCUGCAGGGUGCCUUCCCUUCCAAGACUCUCAGUUUGAUCCAGAUGGAUAUUUUUGGGCUCUUAUCCACAUCUUUUGUGUAGGUUCUUACAAAAUACUUCGGAAGUCCCGGAAGCCCACUGUGCUAAGAGGUCCAGCAUGCUGGGGUCUCCCAUUACCAAGCUAGAGAGUCCCUAAGUCAGCUAGCAGGCCUGAUUGAAAGCUCUUUAUGGAAUUCUGAGUGACAUUGACCAGCAGUACUUAAACUAUAUAUUCAGCAUGGUACUCCUGGCAUUUGCAUCUCAUCCGACAGGUGACCUCUUCGGUGCCCUGGACUUUCCAUUCUUGUAUUUCUACAGGUUCCAUGGCAGCUGCUGUGCCAGUGGAGUUUUGGGAUUCUUCCUCAUGCUCAGUACAGUCAGGCUGAGAAGCAUCCUGGCCCCAGGGCAGUGCGCAGCCUGGAUCCUCUGUGCUAAGGUCGUCACAGCUGGCUUGUCGAUGUUGCUGUUUGAUAUGGCCCUGACCAAAGCAACUGUGGGAUGCUUCCUGCUUGGUGGACUUGGCGAGGCCCUGCUGGUUUUCUCAGAGCGGAGGAGUUCCUCAUGAAGAUGGACAAGAAAAGGCAGCCUGCAGCUUGCUGCUGGAGGACACAGCCCCUGGCCUCCCUCUUGAGAGCUAUAAAAAGACCACAUUACAGUGAGACCAUGCUGAGGUUUCCAGCUGGGCAAAGCUGUGAGCUGCACAUGCCCCAGCCAAGUUGAACACAUGGAUGGCUGAUGAUUGCAACAGCCCACUUUCUUAUUAUUAGGGGGACUUCCCAGGGACCGCUGCAGAGAAUGGGUCCGUCUUAUAUGCUGAACCAUCUCCUCUCUGCUGCACCCAGUUCUGCGGGAUCAAGAAGCAGAGGGUCUUAAUGGGAUGGCUGUGUCCUACCAGUUACUGCUUUGGAAUUGAUGUCACAGUCCAUGGAAUCUUGUUGCAUUUUGGGGAGUUGUUUUGUGUCUUUACAUCUUGGAGUCUCUUAUACCCUUUGAUUUUUCUGGAGCCCAUGCCUUCCCACACAAAACAAGACAUGUAUGUUAUGACAUGUGGGACAGGGCAGGUGUGGGGUUGAUCAGGGGCGCUGGACCAAGUGAAACCCCAGCGAAGAUCCUUAGCUUGGAGUGAGUGGCAGCCUUUGUGGUUAUGCUGAUGUAGUUCCAGCCUCUAAUUUUCUCUUGUUCUUUUGAGUUUGUCAGGAUGUGUUGAAUCUGUAGACCAUUGAACAUGGGUAGAUUAAGCUGAUAACUAAUCGAUUACCUGAAGUCUUUGAAGUAUUCUGUAGUUCAGGUGGGCCUUAAAUACCACACCUUCUGCCUUAGCCUCCUGAGUGCUGAGAUCGCAGGCACUAGCUAUUUUAUGCUUAGUGUGUGUUCCCUAAAGUCUUUACUAUGUGUGAUUCCUUCAUAACUCAGAAGAGAUCUCAAGUCAUUGAGCACUGGAUUUUAUCUCUUACACCAAAUUAUAAAAAUUAAAGUCCCAUAGCUCUAGAGAAUAAACCACUAUAUAAAAUAUUCACUUGAUUCUGAAGCCAGCAAGGCUUAAGAAAAUAAUGCUAGAUUUUCUUCUCAUUGGUGUCACAGAACUUGGUUGUUGUUCCAAGUCUUCGGUGGUUUUGGCCGUACUGAGCUUACUUCAUCAGCCUUCCAGUGUAGGAGACCCGUGCCAUUGACCCACAGAGACCCUCUGGGCUAUGAGGAUUGCUCCUUGUUGCAGGCUCAGAUCCAGGAUGAAUGAGAGCAGCUCAUUGUUGCUACAUUUUUUCCCCAACUUGUUGGCAAACAGAAUGAAACAGGAGGAUAGAUUUAUGUAUAUAGAAUGUGAGGACCUUUAAUUCCUGUCCUUUCCUGAUCUCUGCUCAUCAUUUAAGGUGAAAAUGUUCCAAGACUUGAUGCCUGUGUACUUUUCAAUUUGCUGUCUUAGAAUAUUUUUACAUUUAUUUAUUCUAUUAUUUUAUGUGUAUUGUAUACCACAUGUGUGCCUGGUACCUGUGAAGGUCAGAAGAGGCCAUCAGCUCUACAGAAACUGGAGUUACAGAUAGUGAGCUGCCACGUGACUGCUGUGAAUUGAACUCAUGCUCUGCAAAAGUGAUCUUAACUGCUGAGCUAACUCGACUCUCCUGCCCUGUAAUUUGCUUUUUAAAAAUAUUUGUAUUUAAAUUGUCUGUAUGUUUAUAAGCAUGUGCAUAAUGAGUGCAGGUGCCCCAGGGAGGCCAGAGGAGAAUAUUGGGUCCCCUGGAGUUGGAAUUACAGGAAGUUAUGAGCUGCCCAGUGUGGGUUCUGGGAGACAAACUCUGGUCCUCUAUAGGAACAUUGCAUGGUCUUAACUGAGCGUGUCUCUCUAGCUGAGCACUCGCUGUUGUUCUUCAUCUAGUAUAGCAAACCAGUAAGUAGAUAGGAAUGUCCUAUAGAGCAAAUAGAGACUCUGAGCUUAGAAUUUUCCUUUUUUUUAAUACCCACAAAACUUUCUACUGCUCCCUUUCCCCUGACCCCACUUUUGCAAAAGUGGUAUCUGUCCAGAUGUCAUCCUGUGCCUGUCCUAAAUGUCAUUUAAGCAAUGGAGAGUCCUCAGGUGGAGAGAACCACACAGCUACUAAUCCCAGCGCCAUCUCUAGCAGGAAGAACCUUUACUGAGAAGUUUUACUGAGAAGUUUCAGACACUUUGGCUGUAAAGAUGUCUAGCAGCUAGUGCUUUGUUUUUCAACCACAUUGAGUUCCAUUGUUCCUGAGUCUCUCUCGGGUGUUUUUGUUGUGUGCUGAGAAGGUAAGAUGAUGGGACCAGUUGCUCCUUCAGU
rnacentral:lncRNA from 1 species